UUCUUAUUGGAUGAUGACUGGUCAUGUGUCAUGUUCUGAUUGGAUGUCAACUCCAUGAAAGAUGAAAUGCAUUGGUGUUUUCAUUGACCAAGCAGAAUAUGACACGUGACAAUCAUCAUCC
rfam:Glycine max cultivar Williams 82 chromosome 17, whole genome shotgun sequence.